UUCUGUAAGACUCUGUAGCACCCUCUGCUCUAUGAGGGUGAGGUCAUGCCAGGGGGAAAUGACUUCUUCUGGACACCAGAACAGAUGUGUCACAUGACCAACCCAGGACUAGGGGAAGGCAGCAGGAAGAGAAUGUGACACACUAAAUGAAGCACUCUGGGAACACUCGGGAUUCUGGGAUGAAGUACUCCCAAUGGACACCUCGAAGUGAUGGGCAGCAGCCAUAGCCUGUGACCCAGGCUUGGCAUAAUGGCUUCAGCAGGAACGAGGCUGCAUGAUCUCAAGGUCCCUCCAAUCUCUCUUCUGAGCUGAAAAAAAAUCAUCAGCAAAGAGGUCCUUGUCCCGGUGGACACAAUGCUUUGUGCAGUGUGAAAGCCUACAGAUAGGUGUGAGGACUCAUGCCAGGAGAGAAGGAGGCACCGGAGUGGGACUGACAUUGUAUCUAUCACUAUCAUUCACAGAAGAAAGGACCUUGAAAACCCUACUCCAUCGUAGAAUCUACUAGAAGUGAUUUAGCUGUUCGCAGGAGUCUGGCUACUGGCCCAUGUGCCUGAGCAGAGUACCUGCUGGAGAGCUCGCUCAGCUCCUCGGAGAAAGGAGGAUUUCCUGAAUUGUGUGGAACCAGGACCCCCAUCACACUGGGAGAAUAUUAACCAUUGCCACCAGGACAGAGCCCUGGCCCGUCUGGAUUCAGCAAGGUUUAGGACUUUGGAGACCCUGGGCUGGAGAAAUGAUUCAGUGGCUAAGAAGAGAACAUGUACUGGCUACUUUGUAGAAGACAUUAUGAGCAACACGCAGGAACCUGAAGGAGAGCCUUCUCUAUCCAUCUGUGUGGUUUCUCCCAACUGGACUUGGAAAGGUCCAUGCGGAGACCACCGGUCUGUGACCUGGGUGGUGACAGUGAGCACAGAGUCAGUCUUAUACAUUUCUUUGUCUCAUCUCAGCCCUGACAGUAGAAGCCACCGGUCUCUCACUGAAGAGCUUCAACCGAGGGAUAAAAUUUGAUGAGUGGCACCGAGGAUGUAAAAGGGGCUGACCGUCAAAGCCAACGACUCUGACCAGAAGGCUGGCAAUUGUGGCUUCCUUAUUUCCUCCUGCUUCUUGCUCAAUUUCGCCUCAUCUGUAGUCCACACCUGAUGGUUUCGUUUAAAACAGCCAUCCAGCCUUGACCUUGGCCCCUCCACAAAACCGGGCAUGAUUUAUUUUCAUCUGCAGCAGAUGCCACCCCCCGAUACACUGAAUAUUUUGCCUGUCACCCAACCAGAAUGUCAAUGUCUCAGUCUUUUCCUGUAGGCUUCAUUAAUGUAUUUGUGACACCGAGACUAAUGCCCGCAAUGAGAGAACUGUUUAAUAAAUAUUUUAGUGAAUGAAUGGUUGAUGACAAGAUUUACAAG
rnacentral:lncRNA from 1 species